rnacentral:lncRNA from 10 species
GGACAUUCCGGCCCAAGGACUUACUAACUGGGUGACCUUGGGGCGAGAAUGUAGUCAUAGUUCCCUAAGCUUUAUGGGAAGAAGCUCAGAUCCACUCUUGCAGCGGGACACCGUGAGACAUCACUCCCAAGUGCAGAGGGACGGGUCAGUUCAUUUCAUAGACUCAAAUUACGGAACCUUCAGAGGGUGAUGGGAAAGUUCCCUUUGCCCCGACAAUGUGUAUGCCCAGAGAAAAGACCAUGGCAGGACACAGCAAGAAGUCAGCCAUCUGAAAGCCAAGGAGAGAGGCCUCGGCAGAAGCCAAACCUGCCAACACCUUAAUCUUGGACUUCCGGUUUCCAGAACUCUGAGAAAAUACAUUUCUAUUGUUUAAGUCAUCGAGUCUAUGGCAGUUUGUUAUGGCAGCCUGAGAAAAC